AGUUCAGGGGUUCAAUUUGGAAAAGGAAUUCAAUCCUGAUGUACAACAGAUUAUAAACAUGCUUAGAUAAUUGUGUAUAAGUAGCCCCAUAAUGAAAUUCUGAUUUAUCUAAAAUACACAUUUGCUUGCAAAGUUUGACAUAUACUUCUGCUCACAAAGUUUUACCAUAACACAAUACAUUUAAUCCACUAAUUGCAUUCCUUAUGGCCCAUCAACGGAUGUCUAGUAAUUCAAAAUUCCAUUUCUCAACUUCUCAACAUCUGUUGUACCAGUGACAUUUUGCCUCCUUUUCUUGAGUUGCUCAAGACGAGCUCGGAUGAGGCUAUUCUGCUCUUCAGCCUUUUCCAACAUGCCCAUCAAGAACUGGAUCUCAUUUUUCUUUGCCAUUGACAGAUUGCAUGCAACAUCCAUUACAUUCGUCUUAUUCAAAAAUAGAGGGUCCAGAUAUUGUUCUUCCACAAGUUGGUCCACAGUAUAAAUAGUUGUUCCCACCU
rnacentral:misc_RNA from 1 species